rnacentral:rRNA from 1 species
GACAGAGGUGCCAAGCGUUAGGCGGAAUCACUGGGCUUAAAGCGUGUGUAGGCGGAUUGCUAAGUACCUUGUGAAAUCCCACGGCUCAACCGUGGAACUGCUUGGUAUACUGGUUAUCUUGAGCCACUUAGGGGCGAGCGGAACAAAUGGUGGAGCGGUGAGAUGCGCAGAUAUCAGUUGGAACACCAAUGGUGAAAACAGCUCGCUGGGAGUGUGCUGACGCUGAGACACGAAAGCCAGGGGAGCGAACGGG